CUCGAGAUCUGAAUGAGCAGCUCUCUCUGUUCCUGGACCCUGGACGGUGCAGGUGGACCGAACAGAGCUCCGGAGAACACUGUUGGACUGCAAUACACCUUUCCCAGACCCUGCGACCUACCUAUCCCUUCAUUUAAAACAAGAAGCUGUGGAUUCCUUCCAGAUUAACAUGGUUCCAUUAAGGAAGACCCCCUGAGAGGUCUCCAGACAAUCCAACAUCCAGAACAGCUUCAAGCCAACUGACUGAGAUGAUGCAGCCUCACAGACUACCCCAGUCAGGACUUGACUAUAAACCUAAAUUUUCUCAGGAUACCCAUAAGAUUGCCAUCAGCAGGAAGUAGUAUAGAAAGCUACACCCAAAUUCCCAAAAUGCUGUUUAUGAAUGUUUGUUUUUAUUUAAAGGAGGAUAUGAUAUAGAAAUGAUAAAAAGGUAUAUUAUUGAAUCUACUUUAUUCCAAAAAACAACUGUUAAUCGCAAAAA